rnacentral:rRNA from 1 species
UAAUCCGACGCCACGCGAAGACCCUUACCAAGGCUCGACACUCACCGGACCGCCCCAGAGAUGGGGUUUCCCUUCGGGGCUGGUGGACAGGUGGUGCAUGGUUGUCGUCAGCUCGUGUCGUGAGAUGUUGGGUUAAGUCCCGCAACGAGCGCAACCCUCGUUCUAUGUUGCCAGCACGUGAUGGUGGGGACUCAUAGGAGACUGCCGGGGUCAACUCGGAGGAAGGUGGGGAUGACGUCAAAUCAUCAUGCCCCUUAUGUCUUGGGCUUCACGCAUGCUACAAUGGCCGGUACAAAGGGUUGCGAUACUCGAGGUGGAGCUAAUCCCAAAAAGCCGGUCUCAGUUCGGACGAGGUCAGCAACUCGACCUCAUGAAGUAGGAGUCGGUAGUAAUCGCUGAUCAG